GUGGAUGUUCCUUCUAUGCUUACAGGAUUUAUGGUGAAUCAUAGAGGAAAAUCCGCAU
rnacentral:pre_miRNA from 1 species